UACGGGGGGGGGCAAGCGUUGUUCGGAAUUACUGGGCGUAAAGGGUUCGUAGGUGGCCAACUAAGUCAGACGUGAAAUCCCUCAGCUCAACUGGGGAACUGCGUCUGAUACUGAUUGGCUUGAGUGCAGGAGAGGAACGCGGAAUUCCAGGUGUAGCGGUGAAAUGCGUAGAUAUCUGGAGGAACACCGGUGGCGAAGGCGGCGUUCUGGACUGCAACUGACACUGAGGAACGAAAGCCAGGGGAGCAAACGGG
rnacentral:rRNA from 1 species